rnacentral:rRNA from 1 species
UGAGACAGGUGCUGCAUGGCUGUCGUCAGCUCGUGUUGUGAAAUGUUGGGUUAAGUCCCGCAACGAGCGCAACCCUUAUCCUUGUUUGCCAGCACGUAAUGGUGGGAACUCCAGGGAGACUGCCGGUGAUAAACCGGAGGAAGGUGGGGACGACGUCAAGUCAUCAUGGCCCUUACGAGUAGGGCUACACACGUGCUACAA